rnacentral:rRNA from 1 species
UACGGAGGGUGCAAGCGUUAUCCGGAUUCACUGGGUUUAAAGGGUGCGUAGGAGGGCAGGUAAGUCAGUGGUGAAAUCUCCAAGCUUAACUUGGAACUGCCGUUGAUACUAUCUGUCUUGAAUAUUGUGAGGUGAGCGGAAUAUGUCAUGUAGCGGUGAAAUGCUUAGAUAUGACAUAGAACACCAAUUGCGAAGGCAGCUCACUACACAAUCAUUGACUCUGAGGCACGAAAGCGUGGGGAUCAAACAGG